rnacentral:rRNA from 1 species
UACGGAGGGGGCUAGCGUUGUUCGGAAUUACUGGGCGUAAAGCGCGCGUAGGCGGACCUGCAAGUCGGAGGUGAAAGCCCGAGGCUCAACCUCGGAACUGCCUUCGAUACUGCGGGUCUCGAGUCCGGGAGAGGUGAGUGGAAUUCCUAGUGUAGAGGUGAAAUUCGUAGAUAUUAGGAAGAACACCAGUGGCGAAGGCGGCUCACUGGCCCGGUACUGACGCUGAGGCGCGAAAGCGUGGGGAGCAAACAGG